GUGAAUCAUCGAAUUUUUGAACGCAAAUUGUACUCUCUGGUAUUCCGGAGAGUAUGCCUGUUUGAGGGUCAGUUUUAAUAAAAAUCGGUUUGGUUGCUGCAUUUUGUGGUGACGCACCGGAUUUGUGUCGUCUUGCUUUCGGUUAAGUGGCCUAAAAUUUUCCAUUAUUUUUUCGAAUUAAUUUAAAUUAUUUUUCUUACGUUUAC
rnacentral:misc_RNA from 1 species